rnacentral:rRNA from 1 species
CUAGAGAUAGAGCUUCCUUUCGGGCAGUGGUGACAGGUGGUGCAUGGUUGUCGUCAGCUCGUGUCGUGAGAUGUUGGGUUAAGUCCCGCAACGAGCGCAACCCUUAUCUUUAGUUGCCAGCAUUCAGUUGGCACUCUAGAGAGACUGCCGUCGACAAGACGGAGGAAGGCGGGGAUGACGUCAAAUCAUCAUGCCCCUUAUGACCUGGGCUACACACGUGCUACAAUGGUUGGUACAACGGGAUGCUACUUCGCGAGAAGAUGCUAAUCUCUUAAAACCAAUCUCAGUUCGGAUUGUAGGCUGCAACUCGCCUACAUGAAGUCGGAAUCACUAGUAAUCGCGGAUCAGCAUGCCGCGGUGAAUACGUUCCCGGGCCUUGUACACACCGCCCGUCACACCACGGGAGUUUGCAACACCUGAAGUCGGUGAGGUAACCGCAAGGAGCCAGCCGCCGAAGGUGGGGUAGAUAACUGGGGUGAAGUCGUAACAAGGUAGCCGU